UCGAAUUCGCGAGACACGCAUUCCAACUGGACGCUGUGACUAAAACUCGUAUUUUAUUUUAUCUUACUCAUAAAAACCAUUAUACUAUUACCAGUAUUUUAUCAUUAUUUCGAUCAGUGAUCCACUCAGGAUUACGCCUGCGAAGUUAUCUGUUUAAACAGCCAUACACUUGAGGGAUAUCUUCAAUAUGAACGCGGACAGCACUCGCAAUUGCAGAUCAUCAUCUGCGAAUAUUAACAGAUCCUCAAAACGUCAGCGACUCGACAUGUCGACCUCGAGUGUCAAUUUUACAAUGCAUGACACAAGAAGCCAAAAUCAAAUGGAAUUAAGAUACAAGAACGAAAUAAAAGUUCUUCGCAAUAGAUUAUCUCACACUGAAGCGGCUGCUAUGCAACAACGCACCAUUCGAAAACAAAUUGAAGAGCUGUGUGAGAAGGAGAAGAAUAUUCUGGGGAUGCAGAUUCAGUUGGAAAAGGAAACGGUGGAGCAUCUACGUGGGGAUUUGGAGAGUGCGGUGCUGAGGGUUCAGGAAGCUCGUGAUGCCCAAGCAGCAGCUGAAGCUGAACUUUUUCGAGUUCAAACUGCGUUGGAGGAACAAAUUGCCGAAUUGCUGAUUGAAAAUACUAGAUUGAAAGAGGAAAGGAUUCAAUCAAAUUCUACUCAUACUUCGAUCCUAUCAAAGAGCAACGGCACUUACGAGGUAGACGAUGCUGAAGAGAGCAAUCUAAUGAAGAUUAAUGGAAUACUACACGACGAUUCAGAAUCUCGGGAAGGAUCAAAUUCUGGUACACCUCGGGGGAGAGUCCUCAAGGUUGUAGUCCAACGAUUAUCAUCGAAGGCGAGAGUUUACGAGACUGAAGGCAAGACUCAUAAUUCCAAAACAGAAACUUCUGCUGCACAAGAAAGUCCCAAUGAUGACGGAAAAUCGCCGAAACCAGUGAACAUGCUGAAGAGCAAGACUCAGAAAGCAAUCACCACCUCUCGAAAGAGCAGCUUCAGAAAAGUGUCGGAACCCUCGGAGGUGACGUCUUCCAUCAACAAGAAUAAGACUCCUUCCAAUCAGGAAUCAAGGAAACCCAAGUCAAGACGUCACUCCGUGCCGAAAAAGAAUAAUUCAUCAAAGAUAAAGUCUCAAGGUGUUGGAGGAGUCCGACGACGAAGGACUUUGUCAAGAGCAUCAGAAGAAUAUGAUCCUCUGGAUACAACUCUUGAAGAUGAUUUGAAAGAUUUGCCCACAGAUGAAUACGAAUCAGCCCAAGAUACAGUUCAUGUCAAUUCCUCUGGGGUUCAUUUAUCGAAUGGAGCAGAUGUGGUACAUCCCAAUAAUGAUGACCCUGAACCAAAUGCUGAUGCUGAAAAAUCAAGAGAUAACUCGCAUUAUAAAUCGAAUGGCACACCAGAUCGCGAACUCUCAUCAGAUGGAAUUCGAAUACACGGAAGGAAGAAUUACUUCGUUAAAACAUCGAGUCACCGGUACCAUGAGAUCGAUUGGGAUCAGGAGUUCAGUCAUCGACCUCUCCACGGAUUUUUCUGCAAGAAAUGUAUGUUCAGGUGCUCAAAGCGAGAGCGAAUGAGGGAUCAUGUGUGGAAUACACACUAUGAAGGAUCAUUUCUGUGUUGCCACUGUAAUCCACAUUUUCCUCUUCUGUGGCGAGACAGUGCUGUCCGUCACAUGGAGAAGAAACAUCCUGAGCUCAAUACCUUCAAAAACGAAUGAAUCGGCACAUUGAUUUGGGUAUGAAGGGGUUGGUCAUCAUCUGUUAGCUUUGACACACAUUUUUUUUUGGUUGUCGCGCAUUUAUUUUAGCUUGAACUCUCUUCGCUGCGCCUUUGUCACGAUCGUUUCAAUGUUUUAAGAGUAAUAUGGAAUGGCUUUAUCCUUUUUUUUAAUCAGCGAGAGUAAUUUCACGUGAUUAAACAAUUGAUGACCAAAAUAACUGAUGAUUGAUGAUUAUAACAUUGAUGUAACAUUAAUUAUGAAGUAAUUAUGUUACCUCGAGGUGUUAAGAUCUCAGUAUAUGCGCGAAGAUUGAGUGUAUAUUACACCUUUUCGAGUAUUUUAUGAAUUUUAUGUAGUUCUACCAUUUACUUUGUUUUUACUCAAAUCCCCAAGAGCUUUAUCAACUUUUUUACGCAUUCAUGUAGUGAAUAGCUCACCAUAUGUUUAAAAAAUCUUUUAUUUCUUCAUUAAUGAGCUUUUUAAGUUGUACUUGAAUAUCUGUCACAGACAGCAUGAGAAUGAACGCUAUGAUUCCUAAAAGGUGCCUUGCGAGAUGUAUUUUGAAUUCAUAAAGUAAUAAAUUUAUACGAAGAAACAUGAUUCGCCAAGUUUCAUUAAAAAUAAUGAGCAUAAGUUUGAUAUUGAUAUCAGAACAAUUGAUUGUUCCAUUUCAUUACAGGGUAAUUGAACAGGUCGUCGUAAGGUAAAUUGAGAGGAUUGAACAAAAACACGUGAUGGUGUUCGUCUUCAUUGGGUAGAGGAUGUACCCAAUGAAAAAAAGACACAAACUCGAUAUGCAUGGAGAAAUAUUGAUAAUUAUGUAAAUAAUUAUUCAAUCCGAUUGCUAUUUGCACGAGUGGAAGAUUUUUCUGGUUUCAUAUUGAUAUAAAACCGAAAAUUUCAAUGUUCACAUAAAAUAAGAAAAUUGAUUAAUCGAUCAAUACCAAUCACCAGUGGAUCUACGAAUCUGCAAAACAAAAAAAAACAAAAAGAGGAUUUUCAUAUAAUUAUGAAUUGAUGAAUCCAAUUUAUCUAAUGCCAAACGUACGAGGAAUAAAAUUGAUGUUCAUUUUUUCGAUGUAACAAUAUUGAAUAAGAAUCAAAUGUCAGGUGUCUUGUAUGGAAAGCCAAUGUACAAUAAUAAUUAUAAUGAGACACAAAUAUAUUCGCAUUUCAAUAAAGAAAGAGGCAAUGAACUAAUGAAUGUUUUUAUGAUUAUAAACAAUUCGGCUGAAAUAGAUUGAAACACGGAGAGAAAUUUUUUUGGGGCAACAUUCCAAGGUGUUUACUCGUCUCGCCUUAACCAAGCGAAAAUAAACAAGGAAUUUUAUUUCGAUCCAUGAAAUAUGAGUCCUGAAUAGGAGUACGUUGAUAUUCGAAUAAAUUCCCACAUUCUUUCAAACUUGGUAUUUGACAAGAGCUUGUCUGUGUUUCAAAGAAAGAAUCUCAGAAUGAAUAAAAGUGUAGGACUUGGAAACUUCCGGAGACAUGUCACCUUGAAAUCAUCGACGAUAAAUUAUUCACCCAAAGAUUCAGUAAAAGCUGAAACAAUUCGCAGUAACUCACAUAAAAUCGGAGAUAUUGGCAUUGCACGACGCAAAUUGAAUGAAAAAAUAUUAGCAGAAGAAGAGCAUGAAGUAGAGAAACAAUUGGAUUUAAAUAAAAAAACAAUAGCACAAUUGGAGGUAGAUCUCAAGAGAUCAAUGGCAAAGACACGAGAGGAACAUGAUGCUAGAUCAGCAGCUGAAGUACAACUCGCCGAAUUGAAAAGGAUUAUUCAGCAACAAUUUAUUGAGAUAACACCAUCAAUGAUCACCUCAGGCUCCUUCAGUUCAUCAGCAGAAUCGCAAAUCCAAGAGAAUCUGCAAAUGACAG